rnacentral:tRNA from 1 species
GCUGGAGUAGUUCAGUUGGUAGAACAUCGGUAUCGUAAACCGAAUGUCCCGAGUUCGAUUCUCGGCUCCAGCU